GGGGGUGUAGCUCAGUGGUAGAGCUCUUGCCUAGCACGUUUGAGGCCCUGGGUUCAAUUCCCAGUACCACUA
rnacentral:tRNA from 1 species